rnacentral:rRNA from 1 species
AUUGAACGCUGGCGGCAUGCCUUACACAUGCAAGUCGAACGGCAGCGCGGACUUCGGUCUGGCGGCGAGUGGCGAACGGGUGAGUAAUACAUCGGAACGUACCCUGUUGUGGGGGAUAACUAGUCGAAAGAUUAGCUAAUACCGCAUACGACCUGAGGGUGAAAGUGGGGGAUCGCAAGGCCUCACGCAGCAGGAGCGGCCGAUGUCUGAUUAGCUAGUUGGUGGGGUAAAGGCCCACCAGGGCGACGAUCAGUAGCUGGUCUGAGAGGACGAUCAGCCACACUGGGACUGAGACACGGCCCAGACUCCUACGGGAGGCAGCAGUGGGGAAUUUUGGACAAUGGGGGCAACCCUGAUCCAGCAAUGCCGCGUGUGUGAAGAAGGCCUUCGGGUUGUAAAGCACUUUUGUCCGGAAAGAAAUCGCGCUGGUUAAUACCUGGCGUGGAUGACGGUACCGGAAGAAUAAGCACCGGCUAACUACGUG